rnacentral:rRNA from 1 species
GUUAGGAAUAUUGGACAAUGGGCGAAAGCCUGAUCCAGCCAUGCCGCGUGAACGAUGAAGGCCUUCGGGUUGUAAAGUUCUUUAGCCGAUGAUUAUAAUGACUGUAGUCGGAAAAUAAGCCCCGGCUAACUUCGUGCCAGCAGCCGCGGUAAUACGAAGGGGGCGAGCGUUAUUCGGAAUCACUGGGCGUAAAGCGUGCGUAGGCGGUUUUGUAAGUUAGGAGUGAAAGCCCAGGGCUCAACCUUGGAAUUGCUCUUAAAACUGCAAGGCUCGAAUCUCGGAGAGGAUAGCGGAAUUUCCAGAGUAGCAAUGAAAUGCGUAGAUAUUGGAAGGAACACCAGUGGCGUAAGCGGCUAUCUGGACGAGUAUUGACGCUGAGGCACGAAAGCGUGGGGAUCAAACAGGAUUAGAAACCCCGGUAGUCC